UUCCGACCUGAGCUCAGUUGUGACU
rnacentral:rRNA from 2 species